rnacentral:rRNA from 1 species
GUGAGGAAUAUUGGACAAUGGGCGCAAGCCUGAUCCAGCCAUGCCGCGUGCAGGAAGACGCAUCUAUGGUGUGUAAACUGCUUUUGUACGGGAAGAAACACUCCCUCGUGAGGGAGCUUGACGGUACCGUAAGAAUAAGGAUCGGCUAACUCCGUGCCAGCAGCCGCGGUAAUACGGAGGAUCCAAGCGUUAUCCGGAAUCAUUGGGUUUAAAGGGUCCGUAGGCGGUUUAAUAAGUCAGUGGUGAAAGCCCAUCGCUCAACGAUGGAACGGCCAUUGAUACUGUUAGACUUGAAUUACAAGGAAGUAACUAGAAUAUGUAGUGUUGCGGUGAAAUGCUUAGAUAUUACAUGGAAUACCAAUUGCGAAGGCAGGUUACUACUUGUGGAUUGACGCUGAUGGACGAAAGCGUGGGGAGCGAACAGGAUUAGAAACCCUGGUAGUCC